rnacentral:piRNA from 1 species
UCAGUUCUAUGCAGAGAGGGC